UACGUAGGGUGCGAGCGUUGUCCGGAAUUAUUGGGCGUAAAGAGCUUGUAGGCGGUUUGUCGCGUCUGCUGUGAAAAUCCGAGGCUCAACCUCGGACUUGCAGUGGGUACGGGCAGACUAGAGUGUGGUAGGGGAGACUGGAAUUCCUGGUGUAGCGGUGGAAUGCGCAGAUAUCAGGAGGAACACCGAUGGCGAAGGCAGGUCUCCUGGGCCAU
rnacentral:rRNA from 1 species